CGACUUAGCUCAGUAGGUAGAGCAACUGACUUGUAAUCAGUAGGUCACCAGUUCGAUUCCGGUAGUCGGC
rnacentral:tRNA from 22 species